rnacentral:rRNA from 1 species
GACAGAGGCCUCGAGCGUUAGGCGGAAUCACUGGGCUUAAAACGUGUGUAGGCGGGCCCGUAAGUGUCUUGUGAAAUCCCACGGCUCAACCGUGGAACUGCUGGGCAUACUGCGGGUCUUGGGCCAACUAGGGGCAGCCGGAACAAGCGGUGGAGCGGUGAAAUGCGUAGAUAUCGCUUGGAACGCCGAAGGUGAAAACAGGCUGCUGGGGUUGCGCCGACGCUGAGACACGAAAGCCAGGGGAGCAAACGGG